rnacentral:rRNA from 1 species
AUUGAACGCUGGCGGCAUGCCUUACACAUGCAAGUCGAACGGCAGCACGGGGCAGCCUGGUGGCGAGUGGCGAACGGGUGAGUAAUGCAUCGGAACGUACCUUUCAGUGGGGGAUAACGUAGCGAAAGUUACGCUAAUACCGCAUAUUCUGUGAGCAGGAAAGCAGGGGAUCGCAAGACCUUGCGCUGAUUGAGCGGCCGACGUCAGAUUAGCUAGUUGGUGAGGUAAAGGCUCACCAAGGCGACGAUCUGUAGCGGGUCUGAGAGGAUGAUCCGCCACACUGGAACUGAGACACGGUCCAGACUCCUACGGGAGGCAGCAGUGGGGAAUUUUGGACAAUGGGGGCAACCCUGAUCCAGCCAUGCCGCGUGAGUGAAGAAGGCCUUCGGGUUGUAAAGCUCUUUCGGCCGGGAAGAAAUCGCACGGGCUAAUACCCUGUGUGGAUGACGGUACCGGAAUAAGAAGCACCGGCUAACUACGUGCCAGCCGCCGCAGUAAAAC